CCACCCGCCUCUGCCUCCCAAAGUGCUGGGAUUGCAGGCAUGAACCACCGCGCCCGGCCCUCCAUUUUGUACAAUGAUUAAAGAGGCGCAAAGACGAAGAAGGGAGAAAAAUGCCCGUGGGCAUCUUUUUUUCUUUUUAGUUAUCUUUGUUUUCUAGGCAAAAGAGCAGAGUGAAAGCAUCUGUCUGCUGAUUUCUCCACCAGUCUCUCCCUGUCGACCUGCACAGGGACACAAGUGCAAUCCAAUACUGAGACAAGGACUACUGUGGCUCUCUAGUCGCUUGAGAUGGGAGUGGCAGGGCGCUGGAUGGCCGAACGAAGACUGUCGGGGAAUAAGAGGCCUUCAACAUGCGAGAAGCAGAAACCAAUACGGAUCAACAUUCCCUACGGAUAUUCCAUAAGACUGAUUCAUAUUCAUAUUCCUGUAUUUCCUCAGUCCCUCCAAUAUUGCCUGGGAACUUCUGGUAACAGCAAACGGAGGCCCCAUAUGAAAAAAAACAGGAAAAGGUUUUGUCACAAUGGAAAAUACAUGCAGAGUAAAAGGGUAAGAUAUUUCUGAAGGAAAUCAGAAAAGCCCCAAAUCGAGACUUGAUUCUUAUUACUCAUAAGAGAAGACUGAAGCUUUAACAAUUAAUCUGCUUAGAACUGCAAUGUAAACUGCACGCAGCUAUUACCUGAUUUUUAUUUCCACUACUUUUCUUCCAUCACAAGCCCUAUGCAGAAAAAAAAGUGGUUGCAGAAGCCCUACAAGCUUUCACUAAAAGAUUACACUGCCAGGGGUUGACGAUUUGAUGUGCUGGUGGUCAUUUUUUCCAUUGGAGAUCCGCAAACUCUGAAACUUAAACGAUUUAACUACAAACACACAGCAAAUGAUGAAAAGAUAGCGGUCACCUCAGCUGAAAUUUGGUGGAAGUAAAAAGUACUUCUCUGGGUCUUCUGAGGAAGCUUCUGGUGUGAGAUGCAAACACUCUGAACUCCAGGGACCAAGCUCUAUUUCAUGCCAAGGUUACUCAACACCCAGAAGGCAGAACAGCGACCUCUCUCUCUCCAUCUGCAGAAGCCAAGCAAGCGUGUGGGCCUCCGUAUGCAUCCUUUCUUUUAUUCACUUUCUAAAUGCUGUAACGGCUACCAUCUACCAGGUGGUCACAAACCAUCUCUAAAGUCAAUCUGAGGUUAACCCACUCGACUUGUGAGGGAUCCACCUAUACUGCUUCUGCACCUGUAAUAUGACUAAGGAGACGGUGGCUGCACACGUAGUUAACACCGAUUGUACUGUGACUCCGCCUUUCCGCAGCAGCUCUCCGGCUCUUUAGAGUCCUUUUGAGCCAAGCUGGACGUGAGGCAUAAAGGAGCUCUUUGCAAACGCCAGGAGGAAUUUCUUCAGGGUGAAGUUAACUUUCAAUCGGCUUCAUUCUAAGAGAAAUAUGUGAAGCAAACAAACGGGAACUUUUUUUCUCAUCUUUUGCAUUUCAAGCAAAAACUAAUAAAAUUAGAUGUUUCCACCGUCAUGCUCAGUCUCGAAGCUGCCAGCAGAUCCCGCUUCUAACUUUUAACACAGGCACGCAGGAAAUCGGGAAAUCCCUGCAGUUCCCUCAGAAGCUACAGUAUCAGCAGUUCCUGAAGCGCAAACCAAAACCCAACAUCAUGUACCCCUCCAAAGAGCUCAGCCGGUCUGUUGAGGGACGGAAACAGCGGCGAGGUGCUCUGGAAGCCGUGACAGCCUGGCCGAAAUGAACCAGGUCCCUCCUGGUCGAGCCUACCUCCCUAGGGACAAGAAACGUACCUCUCUUCCCUCAUAUCCAGAGGAAGCAAUGGAGGGAUGUGGCGCUUAGACUCACUCUACUAUCCAGUCCAUCGAAGUCCUAAUAAUCUUCAGGAUGCGACAGAGUGAGACUCCGUCUCAACAAAACAAAACAAAACAACCCUAAGGAAAAGAGAGAAUGUACUGGAGGAUAGGAAGUAUCUAGGAGAACCUUCUUUUUUUUUUUUCUUAUAUUUAAAUUUAAGCCUUCAUUUAUAUAAAAUAAAA
rnacentral:lncRNA from 1 species